rnacentral:rRNA from 1 species
CGCUGAGGAGCGAAAGCAUGGGUAGCGAACAGGAUUAGAUACCCUGGUAGUCCAUGCCGUAAACGGUGGGCGCUAGGUGUGAGGGUCUUUUCACGACUUUCGUGCCGUAGCUAACGCAUUAAGCGCCCCGCCUGGGGAGUACGGCCGCAAGGCUAAAACUCAAAGGAAUUGACGGGGGCCCGCACAAGCGGCGGAGCAUGUGGAUUAAUUCGAUGCAACGCGAAGAACCUUACCUGGGCUUGACAUACACUGGAUCGGGCUAGAGAUAGUCUUUCCCUUUGUGGCUGGUGUACAGGUGGUGCAUGGUUGUCGUCAGCUCGUGUCGUGAGAUGUUGGGUUAAGUCCCGCAACGAGCGCAACCCUUGUCUUAUGUUGCCAGCAUUUGGUUGGGGACUCAUGAGAGACUGCCGGGGUCAACUCGGAGGAAGGUGGGGAUGACGUCAAAUCAUCAUGCCCCUUAUGUCCAGGGCUUCACACAUGCUACAAUGGUCGGUACAACGCGCAGCGACACUGUGAGGUGGAGCGAAUCGCUGAAAGCCGGCCUUAGUUCGGAUUGGGGUCUGCAACUCGACCCCAUGAAGUCGGAGUCGCUAGUAAUCGCAGAUCAGCAAUGCUGCGGUGAAUACGUUCCCGGGCCUUGUACACACCGCCCGUCACGUCAUGAAAGUUGGUAACACCCGAAGCCGGUGGCCCAAACUUGUUAGGGAGCCGUCGAAGGUGGGAUCGGCGAUUGGGACGAAGUCGUAACAAGGUACCCGUACCGGAAGGUGCGGGUGGAUCACCU